GGGUUGUGAGGUUAAGCGACUAAGCGUACACGGUGGAUGCCCUGGCAGUCAGAGGCGAUGAAGGGCGUGCUAAUCUGCGAUAAGCGCCGGUAAGGUGAUAUGAACCGUUAUAACCGGCGAUACCCGAAUGGGGAAACCCAGUGUGACUCGUCACACUAUCAUUAACUGAAUCCAUAGGUUAAUGAGGCGAACCGGGGGAACUGAAACAUCUAAGUACCCCGAGGAAAAGAAAUCAACCGAGAUUCCCCCAGUAGCGGCGAGCGAACGGGGAGGAGCCCAGAGCCUGAAUCAGCAUGUGUG
rnacentral:rRNA from 1 species